CCCAAGCAGACAAGAUUGAAGAGGUGUUACAUUAUUAUUUUUGGAGACAGUCUGAACAUGAUUUUCAUUUUAUCUAGUUACAGCACUUCUAUAAAAACUGUUUACCUAAAUCAAAAGAUUUUGCAUUACUAUUUUUGGAGAUGUGCACAUGUUCCAUUAAAAAUAUAUUCUAGUUUCUUGAUAGCAUAUGUUCAUGAAACCGUUUAACCCUCAUUGUAACCAUGUUCCACCAUGAUUCCCAAAGUCAAGAAUACUCAUGAUCUUUCACUUGAUGGGUAGCAUAAUCCUACUAUGGCCAACAUCCAGUGUGCUCCAUUAGGUCAGAAAACAACUAGUAACAGUAAUUUUGAAUCUUAAUCAUUACUGAAGUAUAUAUAAGUUAAAGAUUAGGUGGAAUAUGGGAAGCAUGGAGAUAUCUCGCAUGAGUGGGUAACCAUAUUAAGUCCUAGAUCCUGCAAAAAAAGGAAUUUAUAUAUUUUCAAAUUUUUAGAGUUCAAUGAAAAAUGGAGUAAGAUAAGGAAAAUCUAACCUGAAGUUAUUUUGUGUGAUAGAGAAAGAAACACUGUAUUUGAAAAUUUGAGAGACAUUGAAAGGUCUUCGAUUUUACUUAAGUUUGAGAGAGUGAAAAAACACUACAUUUGUUUCUCCCUUCGCAAAUGGGAAGUGGAAAGAAAAGUUAUUUUGUUAUUGUGCCAAACCAGUGUACAACGGAUAUAAAAAUGAAUGUGCAAUCCGAACCCGCCCGGACCGGACUAAAAUGCCUGGUUUCAAUAAAAUUCAUAUAAUAAGAUACCCAUGUCCUAUACUUUUUUGGGCUUCGGUGGGCUAGCCUAGUAGGCCCGACCCCUUUUGACAGAUCUAAUUCAAAGAAUCAAGAAGAAAAAUUUAGCGAUGAUGAGUUCGAUUUGAUAUGGAUGACGAAACUAUGUCCCUCCUUAUCAACAAAUUCAGAAAGUUGUUAAGAAGUAAGGGAGGAUUCAGAAUGUUUUAGAAAGAAUAUGCAAAAGACUUGAUCAAGAAGGGCAUGUAUCCUAAAGACAAAGUGACUUGCCAUGAGUGUGGGAAAGUAGGGUACAUGAGGUACACAUGUCACACUUUUAUCAAUAAGAUUGAGCAUGAUAAGAAAGACUAUGGGGAAAUCAAAUCUAAGAAGGCAUAUAUAGUUGGGGAUGCAGUAGAAGAGGACACACCAACAAGCACCUCAAAAGAUAAAGAAUUGAACAAGUUAUGCUUUAUGACGCAAAAUCCGAAUUCGUGUCAAGCAAGUGAGCAAGAUGAAUCUAGUGAGGUAAGCUCUUCCGAUUCUAGUUCUAAUUCCGAUGAUUCCCCCAGAUAUGAUAUGGUUUAUGCUGCUUAUGUUGAAAUGCAUGAAAAACUUAAAAAGUUAGCGAAAAAGUACGUAGAUAGGACAAAGUUGAUUUUAGAAAAUGAAAAGAAAAUUUGUGAAUUGCAAAAUUGUAUUCAUGAGCUUUAACUAGAAAAUGAAACUUUGGAUCUUAUCUAUGCUAACUCUUCAUGUGAUUGUUCUACUAAGUUAAUUUGAUGCCUACUUGUGAAAAUUGCACUUUCUUGGAAAAAGAAAGUAAAAGUUUAAAAUACAAAGUUGGAAAUUUCACAACAAUUAGUCACAACUUAUUUGCUACAUGUAAAAAUAUUGGGAAUAUGUCCGGUUUGGGAGAUAUGCAUGCAAAGAACAAAUCUUACAAGAAAUGGGUAGAUUUUUUGAAAAUUUCAUAUCUUAAGUCCCCUACUUGUUUGUAUUAUGGUAUGCAUGGUUAUAAUUUGAGUUCAUGUCAUAUUAGAAUGCAUGGUGUACCAAAUGGACAAUAUAUGUGGAUUUCUAUGGGACAAGGUCCCGAGCUAUUAAACAUCAAGGGACCCAAGAUCAUUUGCGUACCCAAGUCUUAUAAGUAAACUUGUUUUGUAGGUGUGCCUAAGGACAUAUGGACAUCAAAUCAUACUUGAAUAAUAGAUGUUCUAGGCACAUGAUAGGUGAGAAGAUCAAGUAUUAUUGACCUAUCACCUAAGGAGAAGACAAUGUCACUUAUGGAGAAAAUUGUCAAGUCAAAUGCUUGAAGUUAGAAAGAUUAUGCUCUAAAGGUAAAAAUGUAUCUCUUCUAACUCUAAGUUUUACAUAUUUUAAGUAACAUAGAUAAUGUUAUUAAAUGAGAUACUAGUGAGACCAAUUUUUUUAAAAAACCCCUAUAUAUCAUUUUUAAGGUGAAAAACUAUAUAUUUCUCAUUUACAUGCUUUUGAAUGCAAAUGCUUCAUUUUAAAUAAUUGUAACCUCCUUUUAAGCAUGUUUGAUUCAAAAGUGAAUGUAGAAAUAUUUCUAGGGUAUGCUACUCAUGAUAAAGUACAAUAAGUCUACUUUAUGUUAAGGACAAUGACCAUUUUGAAAAGUUUAUACAUUUUUUAUAUUUGACGAGCCAUCUCCAAAAGAGGAUAGGAAAGGUAUGUGUAAUGUUUUGCAUGUGCUCUUGAGGAUGCACAUUCUAAAAGAUCGAUAUACUAUGCAAGAAGAGAAAGACAAGAAUCAAGAACUUGAAGAAAGGCUAAAGAAGAUUUAAUAUAUGGCAACUUCUUGUUAUCUUGAUAAGGAUGAAAAAGGUAAAGCUAAAGAGGUAACCAUAAUACCGAGGCAUGUUUUGUUCUCUGCUGUUUUAUCAUACAUUAUGCCUGAUAUCAUGCUUAGUGUUUGCAUGUAUACUAUAUGCCUAACUAAUCCUAAAGAAUCGCACUUAUUGCCAAUAAAUGCAUGCUUUCUUGAUUGUACAUGCUUUCAUGUGUUUUGGCUCUAGUCUAGUGUGUAUUAAGUGCUUAGGAUAGGUUCUUUCUAGUGUUCUCUUAGUAAACCCUGAGACAAAUCCGAAUUGUGCUAAAAUAUGUGAUAAUGACUUAUUUAAUCGAUUGUUCUGUGUUUUAAUUGAAUACCUUAGAAAUUUCAAAAAGUGUUAAUCGAUUAUAUAAGCCCUGAAUCGAUUACCUGAACUUAUUUUUCAAAAUACUUAAUUGGUUAAACAUGGACUUAAUCAAUUUUCUGUGUUAAUUUUUCAAACCUAUUAAUUGAUUAACACAAUCGAUUACAUAUAGUUACAAAAUAAAUUCAAGUACAAUUCUAAGUUUAGUUCUGGUCUAGGUUUACCUCAUGUAUUAUGUCUUUCAUCCUCAAAUUCAUCUUGCCUUUCUUCCUAAUAUUGAAAUAUUUUAAUUUUAAGAGAGGGUGUGUUGAAUAAAAAGAUGAUAUUUACCAAUGAACAUGUAUGUUUUUCUGUUCAUAUAAACACAAUAAAAGUUCAAAAAUUAAAGCCCAUUUGAUAUAAUUGAUCUGUCGGGAAUAUUGAAAAUGUAAAAUAUAUAUCACUAUAAUUUCCAACAAUAAGUUUAUUACUACUACAUGUUCUAUAAUAUAAAGUUUAACAUAAAACAUCAAGUCCAUAUAACCACAAACAAGUUUAUUAUAUGUAGUACAUUAUUUUACAACAUGAAUGAAAAAAUGUCAAUAAACUUGCAGGUUUAGUAGUAAUGAUAAACAAAAAUACAAAUAUGUACCAUUAACACUAAAUGGCAGAGUUAUUUAAUCUAAGCAUGAAGAAUUUGACUCUAGCGUGUGGUUGAAAAGAACUAUGUUAAGAGAAAUAUAAAUAACUUUGACAAUCUUAUAUUUCAAAAGAAAUUAAUAUUAUCAAUAGUGGAACAUACCCUUGAUGCAAUGUUGUUGACUUGGAAAUCAUCUUUCUUCAUCUUGAAUCAAAAGUUACGCCUACAUUUCUUUCUAGAAGAGCAGCCCUUGUUAUAAAUUGGUUUCUUGAAGUGAGGUUUUUGAUUUUCUUUACAACCAGCCAUUCUAUUUCCAGUUAUUUUACAUAAUUCACCUUUUAUGUUGAAACCCAUAACACCUUGGUUGAGCAUAGUCAUACUUAGAAGAAGAGCACAAAGAAACAAAACCUUCAUGAUAAAGUUGAUGUUUUGAUCUUCUUUAUGCUCUAUGAUACUUUGCAACU
rnacentral:lncRNA from 1 species